rnacentral:rRNA from 1 species
CGGGUGAGUAACGCGUAGGUAACCUGCCUCUUAGCGGGGGAUAACUAUUGGAAACGAUAGCUAAUACCGCAUAAAAGUCGAUAUCGCAUGAUAUUGAUUUGAAAGGUGCAAUUGCAUCACUAAGAGAUGGACCUGCGUUGUAUUAGCUAGUUGGUGAGGUAACGGCUCACCAAGGCGACGAUACAUAGCCGACCUGAGAGGGUGAUCGGCCACACUGGGACUGAGACACGGCCCAGACUCCUACGGGAGGCAGCAGUAGGGAAUCUUCGGCAAUGGGGGCAACCCUGACCGAGCAACGCCGCGUGAGUGAAGAAGGUUUUCGGAUCGUAAAGCUCUGUUGUAAGAGAAGAACGAGUGUGAGAGUGGAAAGUUCACACUGUGACGGUAACUUACCAGAAAGGGACGGCUAACUACGUGCCAGCAGCCGCGGUAAUACGUAGGUCCCGAGCGUUAUCCGGAUUUAUUGGGCGUAAAGCGAGCGCAGGCGGUUAGAUAAGUCUGAAGUUAAAGGCUGUGGCUUAACCAUAGUACGCUUUGGAAACUGUUUAACUUGAGUGCAGAAGGGGAGAGUGGAAUUCCAUGUGUAG